GAUGAACGCUGGCGGCGUGCCUAAUACAUGCAAGUCGAGCGAACAGACGAGGAGCUUGCUCCUCUGACGUUAGCGGCGGACGGGUGAGCAACACGUGGAUAACCUACCUAUAAGACUGGGAUAACUUCGGGAAACCGGAGCUAAUACCGGAUAAUAUAUUGAACCGCAUGGUUCAAUAGUGAAAGACGGUUUUGCUGUCACUUAUAGAUGGAUCCGCGCCGCAUUAGCUAGUUGGUAAGGUAACGGCUUACCAAGGCAACGAUGCGUAGCCGACCUGAGAGGGUGAUCGGCCACACUGGAACUGAGACACGGUCCAGACUCCUACGGGAGGCAGCAGUAGGGAAUCUUCCGCAAUGGGCGAAAGCCUGACGGAGCAACGCCGCGUGAGUGAUGAAGGUCUUCGGAUCGUAAAACUCUGUUAGUAGGGAAGAACAAAUGUGUAAGUAACUAUGCACGUCUUGACGGUACCUAAUCAGAAAGCCACGGCUAACUACGUG
rnacentral:rRNA from 1 species